rnacentral:rRNA from 1 species
CUCUUUUUGCGUACGUUUUAAGUUAUGUUUAGGGGACGGAACGAUUGAGACGGAUCGCGUGGAGUAACAAGUAUUUGUAAAAAAUUUAUGGCGGUAUUUGGUCUUGUUAUUUUGUAUCGCUAGGUGCCGUGUGCUGCUUCUCUUGUUCUCUCCUUCUUCUCGCGGCCCGGGACCUUUUUGGUUGCUUCUUUAAGUUUUUGCUAUCUGUUCCUCUUCUUUGGCCCUCUCGCGUUGGUGGGUUAUUAGAGGGUGUUGAGUGGUUGAUAGCGGGCGUUAGAGCGGAGGGGGACGGGGCCGCGUGGGCUCGCGAAGACUCGCGCUGUGCCGAGGGCGCCACCCUCGCUUAUACUCCUCGGGCGGCGCUGGCGUCGCCGCCUCCCUCAGGCCCGCUCUACCCUCGUCGUAGGGGGUAGGUGAGGAAGUCUUAAGUGGCUUCCUCCUACCGGGACGUGGGGGUUAAAUUUAUAGUGUCGCGGGCGGGCGGACAUUAGGGGCUGCCGUCGGGCUGCAUUGGGUGGCUGUCGCAAUUUAUGCGCGGUCUUCCUUCGGCGUGCUGGUUGUUUGAUUAACGACGUGCCAACGCGAAUAUCCGACAAAGGCAUAGGGGGCAGGAGGCGAGCGGUAAGUGAUCUGAGGAGGUAAGUUUCUAGGCGGACGCAAACUUACCANNUAGAUUCUCAGUUGGGAUGGCAGGCNGAACUGNGGNGCAUGACGUCGUAAUCGAUAGUAUUGNUNUGUCAGCAUUNAGGCGGCAAUAGUUCCGGGGCGUUGUGCACACCGACCGUCACACCACGGGAGUUUGCAACACCCGCAAGUCGGGUGAGGUAACCGCAAGGGAGCCAGCCGCCGAAGGUGGGGUUAGAUGACUGGGGUGAAGUCGUAACAAGGUAA